UACGUAGGGGGCGAGCGUUGUCCGGAUUUACUGGGCGUAAAGCGCGUGUAGGCGGUCCCUUAAGUCCGAGGUGAAAGGCGGAGGCUCAACCUCCGAGCUGCGUCGGAAACUGGGGGUCUUGAAUGUCGGAGAGGGGCGUGGAAUUCCUGGUGUAGCGGUGAAAUGCGUAGAGAUCAGGAGGAACACCGAUGGCGAAGGCAGGUCUCUGGGCAUUAACUGACUCUGAGGAGCUAAAUCAUGGGGAGCUAACAGG
rnacentral:rRNA from 1 species